GGCGAACGCUGGCGGCGUGCUUAACACAUGCAAGUCGAACGGAAAGGCCCUGCUUUUGUGGGGUGCUCGAGUGGCGAACGGGUGAGUAACACGUGAGUAACCUGCCCUUGACUUUGGGAUAACUUCAGGAAACUGGGGCUAAUACCGGAUAGGAGCUCCUGCUGCAUGGUGGGGGUUGGAAAGUUUCGGCGGUUGGGGAUGGACUCGCGGCUUAUCAGCUUGUUGGUGGGGUAGUGGCUUACCAAGGCUUUGACGGGUAGCCGGCAUGAGAGGGUGAACGGCCACAUUGGGACUGAGAUACGGCCCAGACUGCUACGGGAGGCAGCAGUGGGGAGUAUUGCACAAUGGGAGGAAGCCUGAUGCAGAAACGCCGCGUGCGGGAUGACGGCCUUCGGGUUGUGAACCGCUUUCGCCUGUGACGAAGCGUGAGUGACGGUAAUGGGUAAAGAAGCACCGGCUAACUACGUG
rnacentral:rRNA from 1 species